AUUGCAGGGGAUUUAGACUAGAUGAUGUGUUAUAGGGGAGGAGGCCCCGGCAGACCACCUGGUCAAGUUCAGCAGUGCUGUGUCCUUCUUGCUCUCACAUCAUGGGGUUGGGAGAAGGGCAAAAGGAGCCAGGCUGGAUGGCCAUAGCUCAGGCACAGGCUCUUCCUUCCACUGUGAGAGAAGUCAGCAAUAAAUGCACUUUCUCAGGUGACAGCAACUCAACGCAAAUCCUCACCACCCUUUUACCUGGAGCUAUUUACUCAUCUUGAAGCACUGUGCUAACACAGCCCGCUGCCAAAACCCAGCUCCUCCUCCAGCUCCCAGUGGGGAGAAACACAGCCCUCGGUCUUACCCUGACAUUUCCUGUAAAAACAAUCAUUCCACCACCGCUGGCUAAAUCUGUUUGUGGCUGCCAUCUCCACGACCCUGAACAGGACAUGAGAACAGCGAGGGAACGGGAGGGGGGGAUGGAGUGGAGGAAAGGGCUGCAGCAUAAGCUUCAGGAGACUGAGAUGAGACACCAGAACCUGUCCUUUCUGCAGCUUAUGGAGCCUACAGCUGUCGUCAGAGCUCCCUGAGCAGCACUGGCUGCACAAGGCUUCCAUGAGCCCCAUGUGACCGCUCGUGUGCUGGAUUAACCGCAGCAGUUUGAUUUACACCACCUGUGCAUCGGACGCAACUUAUUUAACAAGGUCUACAAAGCUAUUGCACUGCCAGCAAUAAAAGCCAUGGGCACCCAUGUCUUUCACAGGUUGAGUUUAAACAAGGCUGGUGACGGAUUUUACAGCUUUCAAAUUGCUUCUCUGUACUCGUAAAUAAGUGUCAGGUAUAGCAUUAAUUGUUUGGGGCUACUUUUUGUUUUACACCGCUGUAAAGUUGUGACUUACUGCAGAGCAGUCCUUUCCUCCAAGGUUCUGGCUGUGCUCCUGGGCAUAAGGAGAGAUGGGCUGCAAAGAUUCAGUGCCAAAUUAUUUACAAAACCUGUCUGAAAAGAGCUGACAUUUCACUAAGUGUGUUUGAAUCAUUAGGUCAUGAAUUAAAACCUCCUGGGAUUUUUUUUCGCACUGAAAUAAAAA
ensembl:lncRNA